CUGCGGUGGGUACGGGCAGACUAGAGUGAUGUAGGGGAGACUGGAAUCCCUGGUGUAGCGGUGAAAUGCGCAGAUAUCAGGAGGAACACCGAUGGCGAAGGCAGGUCUCUGGGCAUUAACUGACGCUGAGGAGCGAAAGCAUGGGGAGCGAACAGGAUUAGAUACCCUGGUAGUCCAUGCCGUAAACGUUGGGCACUAGGUGUGGGGGACAUUCCACGUUUUCCGCGCCGUAGCUAACGCAUUAAGUGCCCCGCCUGGGGAGUACGGCCGCAAGGCUAAAACUCAAAGGAAUUGACGGGGGCCCGCACAAGCGGCGGAGCAUGCGGAUUAAUUCGAUGCAACGCGAAGAACCUUACCAAGGCUUGACAUGGACCGGACCGGGCUGGAAACAGUCCUUCCCCUUUGGGGCCGGUUCACAGGUGGUGCAUGGUUGUCGUCAGCUCGUGUCGUGAGAUGUUGGGUUAAGUCCCGCAACGAGCGCAACCCUCGUUCCAUGUUGCCAGCGCGUAAUGGCGGGGACUCAUGGGAGACUGCCGGGGUCAACUCGGAGGAAGGUGGGGACGACGUCAAAUCAUCAUGCCCCUUAUGUCUUGGGCUUCACGCAU
rnacentral:rRNA from 1 species